rnacentral:lncRNA from 1 species
GGGGAGGCAGACGAGGUCGAAGACGAAAAUACUCAUUGGGUCGGGCUGGCCGGGCAGGGGGCUCAGCCGUGCAGCUGCAGACUGUCUCAGGCCAGUGUCCCGGAGAGGAAGAUGACGGUGAUGAUGGAGAAGGCGCUGGCAGUCUGGAGAGUGGCUGCCUCCAGAUCAUCCCUGGGGAAGGAGCCCCAGCCCCACCACCCCCACCACCUCCACCCCCACCUGCUGAGCUGACCAAUGGACUGGUGGCCCUGCCCAGCCGGCUGCGAAGGAUGAAUGGCAACAGUUACGUGCUCCUGAGGCAGAGCAACAAUGGAGUGCCAGCAGGUCCCUGCUCCUUUGCAGAGGAGCUCAGCCGCAUCCUGGAGAAGAGGAAGCACACGCAGCUUGUAGAGCAGCUAGAUGAGAGCUCUGUUUGAACCUAGCCUCCUAAACAAAUGCUCUUCCAAGCCAGCCUGUCUGCCCUAGGCGGGGCCACUGCCUCCCCAAACAUCCACUCUCCUUCUUGCUCCCAACUCCAUUUCCUUCUUCCAACUUUUUGAUGUCUCUGUAGGGCUGGCCAGAGUCAUGGUUAGCCAAAGUCCCCUCUUCAGUCUCCAAGACACAUGUGAGCAGCCCAGACCCACCGGUGCUCCUCAAAGGUAGGUGCUCCCCAGAACCAAGUACUCCGCAAACCCAGACCCAGUUUCUGUCCCUUGACCUAAAGACUUGGGAGGAGAGGAUUGUCUUCUUAUCCCAUUAUCUGUCCAACCUUCCUCUUCUUCUCAGGUAGGGCUCUGCAGGUCCAGAUGGCCUCAAUGUCACCACCCUCUGCACAGCUGUGUGCUGGGUAGUCCUGAAUUCAGACAAGACCUCUCUCUACCAGCCACCUGAGUCCUGCUUCCAUUCCCAUGUGCACAUGGAAGAAUGUUUAUCAGCUGGGCUGCAGUGUCCCGCUCCUCCUCUUGGGGCAUCCUUGUCUCACUCCUCCUAGAUUCAGGGCACCUUCCAAUUGUCACCUUCCUAUCUAGUCCUCUUCAGUCCCAGCCCCAUGUGGUAACCCUUUGGCAGGAGUCAGGGAACAGGCCGGCUUGGGAGGAAAGAAGCAUCACUCCUCUCUUCUUUCCUCUGUAACCCUUGUGAGUCAGCCUCCCUCCUCCUCUCAUUCACAUGCAAGGGUGCCAGAGCUCCAGGCAUGUCCUUUUCUUGUGCAUAUGUGGCAACACAUCCACGUCAUGUGCUGACAUUUCCACCCACAUGUACAUUCUGAACCUCCCCUUGCUGCCUCAGUCAGACCUCUGUCUACUGGGCUUGGUCCAUGGAUAUUUCAAAGGGAGAUUUCCCUUCCCAUUUAGCUGUCCUCACUGAACUAGGACAAGUGGCCAACACUGCACUCAAUGAGCCAGCCUCCCUCUUAGGGAC